rnacentral:rRNA from 1 species
UACGUAGGGUGCAAGCGUUGUCCGGAAUUAUUGGGCGUAAAGAGCUCGUAGGCGGUUUGUUGCGUCGGCUGUGAAAUCCCGAGGCUCAACCUCGGGUCUGCAGUCGAUACGAGCAAACUAGAGUGUUGCAGGGGAGACUGGAAUUCCUGGUGUAGCGGUGAAAUGCGCAGAUAUCAGGAAGAACACCGAUGGCGAAGGCAGGUCUCUGGGCCACUACUGACGCUGAGAAGCGAAAGCAUGGGGAGCGAACAGG